rnacentral:rRNA from 1 species
CCUACGGGAGGCAGCAGUAAGGAAUAUUGGACAAUGGGCGAAAGCCUGAUCCAGCCAUGCCGCGUGAAGGAUUAAGGUCCUCUGGAUUGUAAACUUCUUUUAUGUGGGACGAAAAAAGGGCAUUCUUGCUCACUUGACGGUACCAUUUGAAUAAGCACCGGCUAACUCCGUGCCAGCAGCCGCGGUAAUACGGAGGGUGCAAGCGUUAUCCGGAUUCACUGGGUUUAAAGGGUGCGUAGGCGGGUAGGUAAGUCAGUGGUGAAAUCUCGAAGCUUAACUUCGAAACUGCCAUUGAUACUAUCUAUCUUGAAUAUUGUGGAGGUUUGCGGAAUAUGUCAUGUAGCGGUGAAAUGCUUAGAUAUGACAUAGAACACCGAUUGCGAAGGCAGCAGGCUACACAUAUAUUGACGCUGAGGCACGAAAGCGUGGGGAUCAAACAGGAUUAGAUACCCUGGUAGUCCACGCCCUAAACGAUGAUUACUCGACAUACGCGAUACACUGUGUGUGUUNUGAGNGAAGANAUAAGUAAUACACCGNGGAGUACGUCCGCGAGAGAGAACGUACAAUAGAGUAGACGGCGNGAGACGNGCCGACGGACGACGACGAGGGAGGUUAGG